rnacentral:rRNA from 1 species
UACAGAGGGUGCGAGCGUUAAUCGGAAUUACUGGGCGUAAAGCGCGCGUAGGCGGCUUGUUAAGUCAAAUGUGAAAUCCCCGAGCUUACUUGGGCAUUGCAUUCGAUACUGGCAAGCUAGAGUAUGGGAGAGGAAGGUAGAAUUCCAGGUGUAGCGGUGAAAUGCGUAGAGAUCUGGAGGAAUACCGAUGGCGAAGGCAGCCUUCUGGCCUAAUACUGACGCUGAGGUGCGAAAGCAUGGGGAGCAAACAGG